CCUACGGGGUGCAGCAGUGGGGAAUAUUGCACAAUGGGGGAAACCCUGAUGCAGCGACGCCGCGUGAAGGAAGAAGUAUUUCGGUAUGUAAACUUCUAUCAGCAGGGAAGAAAAUGACGGUACCUGACUAAGAAGCCCCGGCUAACUACGUGCCAGCAGACGCGGUAAUACGUAGGGGGCAAGCGUGAUCCGGAUUUACUGGGGGUAAAGGUAGCGUAGGCGGGGAGGCAAGUCAGAAGUGAAAGGCCGGGGCACAAAUCCGGGACUGCUUUUGAAACUGUAUGGCUAGAGUGCAGGAGAGGCAAGUGGAAUUCCUAGUGUAGCGGUGAAAUGCGUAGAUAUUAGGAGGAACACCAGUGGCGAAGGCGGCUUGCUGGACUGUAAAUGACGCUGAGGCUCGAAAGCGUGGGGAGCAAACAGGAUUAGAUACCCGUGUAGUC
rnacentral:rRNA from 1 species